rnacentral:tRNA from 1 species
GGUUUGAGUAACCAAAUUAACGGUUUAAAAUUGUAAAUUUUAAUAUGAGACUAUCCCAAACCG